UACAGAGGUCUCAAGCGUUGUUCGGAUUCAUUGGGCGUAAAGGGUGCGUAGGUGGCGGGGCAAGUCAGGUGUGAAAUCUCGGGGCUCAACCCCGAAACUGCACUUGAUACUGCCUUGCUCGAGUACUGGAGAGGAGACUGGAAUUUACGGUGUAGCAGUGAAAUGCGUAGAUAUCGUAAGGAAGACCAGUGGCGAAGGCGAGUCUCUGGACAGUUACUGACGCUGAGGCACGAAGGCCAGGGGAGCAAACGGG
rnacentral:rRNA from 1 species